CAUUAGAUGACCGAAAGCAAGUGUUGGUCUCUUAAGCCUUUUAAUAGUAAUUUAACAAAUACUUCUAAUGA
rnacentral:tRNA from 1 species